rnacentral:rRNA from 1 species
CCUACGGGGGGCUGCAGUAAGGAAUAUUGGUCAAUGGACGAAAGUCUGAACCAGCCAUGCCGCGUGGAGGAUGAAGGUCCUCUGGAUUGUAAACUUCUUUUGUAUGGGACGAAAAAAGGCUUUUCUAGGUCGUCUGACGGUACCAUAUGAAUAAGCACCGGCUAACUCCGUGCCAGCAGCCGCGGUAAUACGGAGGGUGCAAGCGUUAUCCGGAUUCACUGGGUUUAAAGGGUUUGGAGGGUGGUUGGUGAAAGCCCCGAGCUUAACUUGGGAACGGCCAUUGAUACUAUCAGUCUUGAAUACCGUGGAGGUCAGCGGAAUAUGUCAUGUAGCGGUGAAAUGCUUAGAUAUGACAUAGAACACCAAUUGCGAAGGCAGCUGGCUACCCGAAUAUUGACACUGAGGCACGAAAGCGUGGGGAGCAAACAGGAUUAGAUACCCGAGUAGUC